UUCUCCAAUUCCUGCAUGCAUCUCCAUCGUGCUGUGGCUGCAUUUUUUCUACGCUUCCCACCAACCGCACUGUCGGGCAGUGCAACAGCCAAGAGUGCUGAACCUAAACCGAACUGACUGCGGCGUCCUCUUCUUGUUCCCAAACCUCACCGCCUCAACUGCUUCGCCUUCGACUGCGGGCGGCGGCGGCGGCGUACAAAGAACCAAAAGAUGACUCCUUGCGCUCUCACCGUCGACUCCCUAAACCCAAAGGUGCUGGCUCUCGCGGAUCACCUCGGCGACAACGCCAUUGCCCGCCGCGCGCAGUGCAUCCAGAACGAGAUAGAAGCAGAACCGGAGUCACACCCUUUCCGCGAGAUAAUCGAUUGCAGCCUCAGCAAUCCACAGUCCAUGGGACAGCGGCCAAACAAGUUCUUCCGAGAGGUUCUUGCCUUGUGCGACUAUCCCCAUCUUCUAGAACAGAGUGGAACUAAUUCCUUGUUCAGCUCUGGUGCGAUAGCAAGGGCACGGGAGAUUCUAGACCUCUUUCCCGGGAGAGCAACAGGAGGAUAUAGCCACUCUCAGGGCACUGAAGGAUUGCGCGACAUAAUCGCCGCUGGAAUAGCCGCUCGAGAUAAUUUCCCCUGUAACGCGGAUGACAUUUUCCUGACAGAUGGAGCAGCUCCGCCGGUUCACAUGAUGAUGCACCUGCUGAUACGGGAUAAAAAAGACGGCAUCCUCUGCCCAGUUCCAUCGCAUUCCUUGUACACGAGUGCUAUGCUUCUCCAGGGCGCUACUCUUGUGCCAUAUUUCCUUGACGAGUCAAGAGGCUGGGGAGUGAGCAUGUCAGACCUGAAGAAGCAGCUGGAUAGUGCCCGGUCAAUGGGUGUUUUUGUUAGGGGGCUUGUGGUUAUAAAUCCAGGCAACCCUACUGGACAUGUUCUCGUGGAGGAAAAUCAGCGUGAGAUUGUGGAUUUCUGCAGGAAUGAAGAUCUUGUUCUUCUAGCAGACGAGGUUUACCAGGAAAAUAUUUACGCAGAUGAGAAGGGAUUUCACUCUUUCAAGAAGAUAGCACGGUCCAUGGGGUACGGCGAAGGAGACAUAUCUUUAGUGUCCUUCCAUUCAGUUUCUAAUGGAUAUUAUGGUGAAUGUGGGAGAAGGGGAGGCUACAUGGAAGUCACUGGCUUCAACUCUGAUGUAAAGAAACAAGUGUACAAAGUUGUAUCCCUAAGCUCGUGCUCCAACAUCUCCGGCCAGAUCCUCAUGAGCCUAGUCAUGAACCCGCCACAGGUCGGAAGAAAAAUGAAACGUCGGAGACGAGUCGUACGCCUCUUACCAGGCCGAAAGAGACGGCGUCCUGUCAUCUUUCGCUCGCUGCGCAGAGGCCAUGGUGCGCUCAUUCAACGGGCUGGAAGGGGUGACCUGUAGCGAGGCUGAAGGAGCAGUGUUCGUGUUCCCUUCAGUCCGUCUGCCAAAGAAGGCGGUCGCAGCUGCCGAGGCAAGCAACACGCAGCCAGAUGCGUUCUACGCCCUCCGCCUCCUCGAAACCACCGGGAUCGUCGUUGUGCCUGGCUCUGUUUUUGGACAGAUGCAUGGAACGUGGCAUUUCAGAUGCACGGUCCUGCCACACGAAGAGAAGAAGACGAUGACGGUGAUCAUCUCCAGCUUUGUGGCGUUUCAUCGAGCCUUCAUGGAAGAGUUUCGCGACUAACAGAUUUCAGCUCCUCUUCUUCUAUCUCUGUAUUGUACCACAACUUAAUGCUGUACUUCGGAGAAAACCUAGACCUCUCCAAAUGCAUGAUUCCUGUAUGAAACUGUUUGAGUUUUUCUUUUUCUUU